UACAUUGGCCAGAAAACACUACAUUUUUAUCAUCAAUUAGAAGAAAUGGCCAUGAAAAGAGUCAAAACAUUUAUUUUUAGUAUUCCCUCCAAAAGCAAACCCUAUGUUUGCCCAUUUCCCUCUCUUUCCGGGACUCGAACUUCACUUGCCAGUCGCCUGCAUCAAAACUUCCAACCCCUUCCUAAACAUAUGAGUUUCUCAACCAGCAACAAGAAGACAUUGGACAAAGAAAAUCACGUUUCUCUCGAUAUUCUAAGUAGCUCAAUUCAUGCCUAUCAAUACCACAAACCUUUUUCAUUAAAUCCCCAAUUGACUCCCUCAGUCGUCCAGUUAUUCAUCGAUUAUUUUUCCGAUAAAGUUCAUAAAUCUAACUUUAUCAAGGCUAUGGUGUGCUACUUCUGGUUUGGAAUGCGGCUUUCAAGCGUCAUCAUUAAUUUAUUCGCCGACGUCUUCUUUACUUCUGCGUGAAUCGAUAAGUAAGGGGACAAUACGGUGCGUUUAUGUUGAAAAAAUGGAACUUGAUUUGACCCAGAUGCAUACUAAGUUUAGUACGAAGAAAACAGGAUGAUGCUCUAUCUUAUGGACAGUUGCAAUGCUCCAAGCACUAUGACAUGCUACUCGAUAUCUUGUGUUAAAAAAGCGAAGGGGUGGCCUCUUUGGUCUGGCAAAGAAGGAAUAGCAACUGGGAGCAACGACCUUUAACUCAGUAUCAGCUAGAAUAUACUGUUCUUGAUGCUUCUGUUCUUGUUCACAUAUAUGGCUACACACAAACUGCUGGUGACCGAGAUGGGCAUUCCAAAAUUGAGCGGAAGUCUCCAUUGUACGAAUAGAGUACCUCUUGCUUUGUCUCUUGUGUUGUCUUUAUUUCAUCAGGCAUAGUGUUCUUUUGUUGUGUAUUAAUUCUAUCAACAAAUUUUUAUAUGCUCAAUUUUAACUUAUUUGUACAUUUUAAUGUGGCUAUUCUACAUUUCAUAAUCCUAUCUAUAUUCUUGCUAUGUAAGACUGAAAUCCGAUGGUUUUUUUAUUCAGAGACUUUCAUAUUGUCCAACUUGGGCGUGUCUCGAUAUGGACAGGUUUGAUUUUAUUCUUCCUCUAGGCCAGGUUAGAAAUUAGAUACUGAUAUUUCAUCUAUUUCUUAUUACAAGAUAUUCAGUUCAUAGAAAGUAGCAAGUAUUUUAAAGGUGGGAUCAUUAUUCAGGGGUCUAUUAUACCAUAUGAAGUAGCAACCAUUUCUCGUAUGGUUUAAUUCCUGUCCAUUUCUCUCGAUUCAUGUUUCUAUUUGUUAUCUAAUUAAAAUUCUUAUUGUCUGAAAACUUUUUUUUUUUUUCGAAACUGGUACUAUUUUGUCUGAAAACUUAUACUCUUGUCAUCACAGAUUGAGUUUAUUUUUCAAUAAUGACAUGCAUUUUUAUUCUUAGAUACAUAUCCUCUUUGUUGUUGUAUUAUACUAGAAUUUGCAUUUUCUUCCUAGUGAUUAAUACCUCAAUGUAAUGUGGCAUAAUGGUUUUGUAGAUUUCUCUGCAACUAUAAAAACCCAACUGGUUUAGAAUCGUGGAAGGCGAAGAGAUAUAGGUGACAUUGCUACGAGAAGGCAAGCAAAAGAUGUUCAAUGGGUUGAAGACUUGAUAAUGGUCCACAGCUGGAGAAUGUCAAUAAGCUUACUAUAGUCUUGAGUUUAGAUAUUUAAUGACACUAGUUACUAGACUCAAAAUAACACUACCUGAGAGAUUCAAAUGGUGUACUUUUUUUUUAUUUUUUUUUUAAUGUUGUUCACUCUGAAAUUAUGAGAAGUUAUCUUUGUUAUUAAUUUAAUGUAAUAUAUUAUGAUUGGAUGAAUUUAGCAUAUUUUGUUAUGAAUAUUUUAUUUCGUUA